rnacentral:lncRNA from 1 species
GGAAAAGGCACCAGAGUUGCCUUCAAGGCUUCUUCUCCUAGCUCCGUGUCGGUCCUGCCAAUGCCCCUUAACCGGAAUGAGCACAUACUGGGGAAUGACCUUCUGUUGGUAAUUCAAUCAAAGCGAGCCAGGCGUCCAGUGUCUCUCUCGGGGAUCCAGCCUCCGACUCUACUUCGGGUGGAAGUGGAAACAGAGGUGGCCGCUCCCCAGCAGAGCUGACCGUGGCUCUAGGGCUCUGAGGCCUCAGAAGCUCCUGCGCUCAGGUUUAGCCCCCAGAUUUCUGGGAUCUCACCUCAUCCUCUCCCAGUUUCAUCCGUGGGAGUUCCAAAGUCUCUCCUUCCCAGGGGAACGGAGCCCUCUCCAGCACCUAGUCCCACCAUCCCCCUCCUUUACCCCCAAACUGGUGGAGUGCUGACCAGGCCAGGCAGGGCUCUGGACUGGAGCUCUGAGCCCACCUUCACAGAGACGUCAAGGUGCUGGCUCUGACUCUCCCUUCACAGAUCUGGCUCCCUAUAGGAGGCAGCUGUGGUUUAAACAGCAUCUUCUUCCCAUCCCCCAACCCCCUAGAAGAACCAUCUCAAGCGUUGGUCCAGCUCUCUCCCAAGGAGCCACAGCAGGGAGCCUCAGAGCUGAGCAGAAGCAUCCAGGAGGGGGAGAAGCCGGUAGUGAACUUGGAGACCACACCCAAGCAGAAAAGAGCGGAGUGGAAUUCAGCCCCGAAGCCUGAGAGUGCUGGGACCUUAACAAAGCAAGCCGCGGAGGUGAGCGUCCCAAGAGCUCUUAGCCACAUCUUUACUGCGACUUCUCUGCAGACUGCGUUGUACUUUAUUUAGACUGUGUGGCAGGUGGAAGUGCAUACUGAUUUGGGAUGUUGGUUGUGCCUUAAAAUUUUUUUAAAACAGCUUUGUUGAACCCUGAUGAGCUUGACUGGAGCGUAACUCCAGAGCUAUAACUGACAUUCGAUAAAAUGCAACAUGGUUAGAAUAUAUGCUUGGCUAGGUUUGGUAUAGUAUGUGCGAAUCCGUGAAACCAUCACCGCAAUCAAGAUGAUGAACAUCUCCGUAACUCCCGAAACGUUGUUUCCCUUUGUAAAUCCCGCCUCUUCUCGCCCCCAUCCCCGGGCAGCACCUGGUCUGCUUUUUGUCACUAUACAUUAAUUUGCAUUUUCUAGAGAUUUAUGUCAAUGGGAUCAUAUCUUCUGUGCUCUUUUUGUCCGUCUCCUUUCACAUAAUUUCAUGUAAUUAUUUGAAGUUAUAUCCAUAUUGCUGCAUGUGAUUAAUAGUUCAUUCUGUUUUAUUACUGAGUAGUAUUCCAUUGUAUGGAUACACUAUUGUUUAUCCAUUCACCUGUCGAUGGCCAUUUGGGCUGUUCCCAGUUUUUGGCUAUCACAAAUAAAAC